UGCGCAGGCGGGUUGGUAGGUCGGAUGUGAAAACCCCACGGCUUAACCGGGGGCCUGCAUUCGAAACCGCCGAUCUUGAGUACGAGAGAGGAGAGCGGAAUUCCUGGUGUAGCGGUGAAAUGCGUAGAUAUCAGGAAGAACACCGGUGGCGAAGGCGGCUCUCUGACUCGAUACUGACGCUCAUGCACGAAGGCUAGGGGAGCAAACA
rnacentral:rRNA from 1 species